UUAAAAAGCUCGUAGUUGAAUUUCGGAACCGAUGGAUCGGUCACGCCAUUCGGUGUGUACUGGUUUAAUUGGUUCUCACCUUCUAAGGAACCGUGAUGUCAUUAAUUUGGUGUCGCGGGGAAUUAGGACUGUUACCUUGAAAAAAUUAGAGUGUUUAAAGCAAGCUCACGCUUGAAUACAUUAGCAUGGAAUAAUGAAAUAGGACAUUGUAUUCUAUUUUGUUGGUUUCUAGGAUCGAUGUAAUGAUUAAUAGGGAUAGUUGGGGG
rnacentral:rRNA from 1 species